UGCACACCUAGCCGAGCGAACUAUCAAACAGCAACUACAGUUCGCAGCCAUUAGUGGUGACCUUAGCAACGAGCAAAGCUCUUUGUCCACCAGAGAGUUGAGGCAGAGCAUCUGAGGAAAAAGCCAGAAAACAUUUUCUUCAUAAAAUAUGAUCCAGUUUCACCAAAAUCAGUGACAGCUGGUGGUGUGUGACGUAGUGCCAUGAAGUGUUUCGUCCUUUUCGUGGGAGAUUGUACCCUCUCAACACAAGCUACACAGUGCUAGAACAGGUGUUCAGAGCGCAGAGUGGCACUGAAAGAGCUAAGAACUAAUUUGAAGGCAAACGUGGUUCCCACAGAAGAAUGAGAGGACUGCACCGAAAACAAUUUUUGUAUCCAACAAUGACGACCACUUCAGGCACCGACUGGCCAGGCAUGUGGAGCAUUUUACAUCCCAACAAUCUUCGGUCUAAGUGACUCGUGUGACUUGGCAUGAGAUCUAAGGAUCUGGAUGAUAGCAUGUGGGCUGCAUGUGUGCUUAAUGACUGGUGUCCGUCCUGCACGAGCCUCAUUCCUCAGAGCCGGCUUCGCUGUUUGAGAUGCUCUGUGCCACUGGAGUUGCAUAAUAGCUUCAAGUCACGCUAGGUCAAGAUGUUUUUAAAAAUUACAGUCUAAAGAAAGUAAGAAGAAAAAAAUAGAUAACUAGGGAGAGAAAGUGAAAGGGAAGGAAUAAAGGACACGUAAAAUGUUUUCCUGGUAGGUCUAAAAUUCUCAGACUGAAGCAAGAGUUGAUAAAAGCAAUAUAAAUUAACAUGUAAAGCAAAGGUGGCGGCACAGCUAUCAUAGUCAAAGUGUACAUGCUGUAGCUUACAACUGGUGCGGCUCUGAGAUUAAUAAGCACUGACCAUAAGCACAGUCAGAGCUGAGGACAACAGAUGCGUAUCUGACAAAGCAAAUUGUAUCUUAUAGACAUAAACAUAAAGAACUGAGGGGUUCUGUUCUAAGAGGUAGUCAAAUAGUGUCAGGUGCCUUCCUGAAAAAGUUCCUGUUUUAAUUCUCUUUGAAAAUGUAUUAAAUGUAUGGCCUGAAAUACACCUCCUGAACUGUUCUAGAAAUUGACAUGUGACAUAAAUCUGUUUACACGGUCACAUUGUGGGGACUCGCCCUGCGUAUGGGGACAUAAUGCACGUCCCUGUAAUAUAAAUGAUUAAAUUUUAGCCCACAGAUAGGUAAAGUUAGGGUGAGGGUUAGGAUUAGGCAGGUCUUCUGGGAGUGGCCUUUUAACUGUACCCAAAGUUAUAACUAAAACAUACAGGGAGGCAUCUUUUCAUUACUAUGCCCCCCGUUUAUGGAAUAGGCUGCCUGAAGAUCUGAGGGCGACAUGUAAUAUUAAUAGUUUUAAACUUAAGACCCAUCUUUUUAGUCUGGCCUUUAACAAUUUUUUUAUUUAGUCCAUUUUAGGUACUUUAUCAUAUUUUAUGUAUUUU